UGCCGACAGCGAUGGCGCCCACCACCCCCGACCGCGCCGCCGGCGCCAUCUUGGCCCUCCUGACCCUAUUGGCCGUUCCCGGGAUCCGGGCGGCCGUGACCCUGACGGAGUCCGGGGGUGACCUCCAGCCCCCCGGGGGGUCCCUGCGCCUCCUGUGCCGGAUCGGCGGCGCCGGCGCGGCCGUUUGGGCGCGGCAGCGCGGCGGCGGCGGGUUGGAGGCGAUCGGCGGCGCCGGCGGCACCGGAGGCGGGAAGUUCGCGGUUAAAGAUGGCGGCGGAGGGGGUUGGGCGGUGUUGGAAGGGGAAGGGUUGGAGGAAGGAGAUUCCGGAGUUUAUUUCUGCGGCGCUCACGGCGGUGGAGGGGAGGGGAGGGGUGGGGGGAAAGGGUCGGUGGGGGUGGUCCCCCAUUUUCCCGCCAUUUCCCCCCUUUUCCCGCCUUUCCCUGUAUUCUCGCGGGAUUUUGCGCGGGCUCUCGCCGGGCCCCGCCCACCGUGGGUCGCUAUUGACGCCUGGGGCAGCGGCACCGUCGUCACCGUCAGCCGAGCCACCGCCCGCGCCCCGGAGCUGUUCCCGCUGUCGCCGUGCGGCGCCGACUCGGCGCGUUUCUCCGUCGGCUGCGUCGCCGUCGGAUUUUUCCCGGCGCCGUUGGAGCUGAGCUGGAGCGACGUCGGGAACCGAAGCGCCGCCGGCGCCGCGUUCCCGCCGGUGCCGCGUUCCGGAACUUUCCUGAGGGCGUCGCGCCUCGGGAUGGAGCCGGAGGAGGGGAAAUCCCGACAGCCGUUCCGGUGUUGGGCCCGGCACGGCCGCGGCGGCCGCAGCGUUGAGGUUUCCAACCCAGGUGGGGAUUGGGGAGAAUUGGGGGGAAAAUGGCCCAAAUAUGGCAAAAAACGGCCCAAAAAUGACCCAAAUGUGGCACAAACGGCUCCCGGCGCCGCGUUCCCGGCGGUGCCGCGUUCCGGAACUUUCCUGAGGGCGUCGCGCCUCGGGAUGGAGCCGGAGGAGGGGAAAUCCCGACAGCCGUUCCGGUGUUGGGCCCGGCACGGCCGCGGCGGCCGCAGCGUUGAGGUUUCCAACCCAGGUCCCGGCACAUCCGGCCCCGCGCCGCCACCGGAGCUGUCUCUCCGUCCGCCGUCCCGCGAAGACUUCCAAGGCCCCUACCGCAACUCCACCCUCCUGUGCCAAAUCCGCGGCCGCCGGCGCGGCCUCGGCGCCGCCCCCAUCCGCUGGUACCGCAACGGGGCCCCGGUGAGCGACGGCGUCACCGCCGAACCGCCGGCGGCCGAAAGCUCCGGCGGCGUUUUCGUGGCCGGGAGCCGCGUGGUGGUGACCGAGGCCGAGUGGGAGAGCGGCGUCGUCUUCACGUGCCGGGCCGGCGAUGAGAUGAGGAACACCAGCAAGGCCAUGGAGUGCGGAUGUGACCAAUCAUUGUCCGCCGGCGACAUCCGCGUGGAGACGGUGCCGCCUCAAUUCGCCGACAUCUUCCGGGACCGCUCGGCGCGGCUGACGUGCCGCGUCACCAACGUGCCGGCGGCCGCCGACGGGCUGGAGGUGACGUGGCUGAAGGAGGACGGCCAAGUUUUGGCCACCAAAACGUCGUCGCCGGCGCCGCAGCCCGACGGGCUCCUGGCGGCCGAGGGCGUGGCCGAGGUGGGCGCCGAGCUCUGGGAGUCCGGUCAGACGUUCACGUGCCGCGUGGCGCACCCGGAGCUGCUGUUCCCCAAGGAGGUCACCAUGAGGAAGACUUUGGUGCCAUCACCAUCCCCCCCCUCCAUCCACCUCCUCCCACCACCACCGGAACAACUCCGCGACCGCACCUGGGCCACCCUCACCUGCCUCGUCCGCGACUUCAACCCGCCCGAAAUCCUCCUCCAAUGGCUCCACGACGGCCGGCCCCUCCCCCCGGGCCACGCCCUCACCUGGCGGCCCCGCCCCGAGCCCGGCCCCACCCCCCGAGGCCACGCCCCCGCCUACCUGAGCGUCAGCACCUUGACGGUGCCGGCGCGGGACUGGGAAUCCGGCGGCGUCUUCACCUGCCUGGUGGGGCACGAGCGGCUGCCGCUGCGGCUGGCGCAGAAAUCGCUGGACAAGGCGGCCGGUAAACCCACCAACGUCAACGUUUCGUUGGUUUUUAGCGACUCUGCCAGUGCCUGUUACUGAAAAUCACGUUUUUUACCCCGAAAAAUAAAGGUUUUGCAAAAAAAAUGGCGCCUUUGGGCCAAAAAAUGGCGUUUUUAGCUCAAAAAUUGGGGUUUUUGUCAUGGUUUUGACCAAAAAAUGGAGAUUUCCCAAGAA